rnacentral:lncRNA from 1 species
AUCAAUGAAUUUGCCAAUUUUUAAUAAAUAUCUAGAGAAUGUCUAAAAAUUAGAUUUUAUUUAUAAAUCAUUUCAUAACAAGGAGGGGCAAGUGUCACUCCAUUCCAUUCAAAACAGCAUAAUGCAGGUUGUGAAAGAUAUUUCGCAAUCUCUGCAGAACUGGAUACAAGCAAAAGAAAACAGUAAAAUAAAAACAAGGAGCAGCAGCGCGAUCAGCACACAAGCUCUAUCAGCAGCGCGAUCAGAACAUAAGCUCUAUCAGCAGCAGCCACUUCAAAAGAAGCGCUAUCAUCAGCAGCAGCACAACAUACAGGAGCAUGGUUACCACACAAGCGCUAUAUAUCAGCAGCAGCUUCCCUCCAUCAUUGGUAUGAAUUCAGCGCUAUACCUUGAUUUCAAAAAACUUUGAAAUGAAAUUUUACCUUUCUAGCCACCAUUUCAGGAUAAUUAUCUUGAAAAACAGAUAGAAUUUGGUUAGAAGCAACUCUAAGUUCUCUCUUAGGCAUAUCUUUAAGAUCAGUGGUUGGAGGUUGUACUCAUCUACAAUCUGUCCAAAAUGAAAAAGUCUGUUAUAGAAGCAUUUCCCAAAAGAUAAAAUAACAAGGUAGCAUUUAUUACUAGAUAAAUAGCAACAUAUAGCUAAAAACAUAUAUAACACAAUGAACCUUUACCUAGACAGUUAAUCAAUAUCUGUAUCAUCGUCACUUGAAGCGUCGUCUUCUUGUUCACUACAAUAAUCCAUUAAAGUAUCAUCUUCUUCAUCAGAAAUCUCGUUAACUAUUAAAUCAUCCUCUGCCUGAUAUCUUUCUCUAUUGGACAAGACAACAUUCACAUCGACUUCAUCUGCUUGUACAACCUCAUGUGUAGUUUCAUUUUCACCCAAACUAUUAAUGUUGCUUGUUUCUCCUGUUUGUUCAUCUUGGACUAUACCAUUCACUGCCAUAUGUUCUUCUUGUUGAUAUACCUCAACACCAUUCUCGAUUUCAAGUUCUUCUUCUUUCUCUAAGAAAUCAUACACAUUUCUCGGAGUUACUUUAUGAACGACUUUCCCAAUCGCCACGUAACUUCGUAUCAUCUACAUAGAAAACUUGAUUGGCUUGGGAGGCUAAGACAAAUGGUUGAUCUUUAUACCAUGUCUUGGAGACAUUAACACUAGUGAAAUGACCAUCAUUUUGUAUCCCAGUCUUUCGAUUACCCACAUCCCACCAUGCACAUUUGAAAAGAAAUACUCGUUUCCCAAAUAGAUAUUCCAACUCUAUAAUAUCUGUUAGGACACCAUAGAACUCAAUAUCCUUUGAUUGAUGCUCCCCUUGUACAACCACACCGCUAUUUUGAGUUCGAAUGCGUAUCUCACGAUCCUUAAUAUGGAACCUAAUUCCAUUAGCAAUGCAACCACUAUAUCGUUACAGCAAAAUAGCAAGGUUUUUAUAACAACAGUAUACAUGCCAAGGAUUGUAGAAAUAUUUUGAAGGUUGAUCUGGUUCUUCUUGUUUAUAAGGAUGCCAAUGGCUCUCUGUACACAAGAAUUUGAAUAACUUACUAGUAGGGUCCAGCCAAACCCCAGCUUAUCAUUUGCAAAAAAAAAAAAAAAAAAAAAACUGUGCAUCUGUUUGAGGAAAACAUGGUGUGGAUGCAGCAGCAGUCAUAGCAACCAUUGAACAGAAAAGAAUGUUUACUAUGAGAAACAGAACAACUGAUGGUGCACUCUUUAGACCCAUUUUACUUUGCUAAGGUGUUCUUAGCUACGCUUGCUACUAAGUUUAAAGUGCAAUAUCCAACACAAAUUGGCUGGAGUAUUUAUUGAUGCCCAAAACUGGAUUUUUGAUUUAUUUUACUAUAUGGUCCCAAUUAAUAAAGAAAAUACAAUAAGCCACGAUAUUUUUAAAAUGUCGAAAUGGUUAACAGCAAUUUCCGGAAUACAACCGAUACAACGUUGAUAUCAUAAUAAUCAUAUGACAGAUUUCAGCGAUCUUUUGCUUUCCGAUAACGCGAAAUAUACAUGCCAUUUAACCAGUAAACAAUCAUACAUACUGGCAAAUCGUUGUAAAUUGGAAUUAGGGUUUUAAGACUAAUUGAAGUUUCUUGUUUGAACAACUAGCUUGUUGAUUAGCAAAAGCUGUGUAGAUUUCAUUCAGCCAAAGAGCCUUUUCCGCAGAACUCGACUUGUCGGGUAUGUCAUUAUCUAUUGAAAUAUUUUUCUCUGCUUCUUGUAAUUCAAUUCGACAUGUUAAACUAAGGAGUUGUAUGCUUGUAUGGAUAGUUGAAACCACCGAUUUUUUUUUUUACGGAGAUCCGAUUUCUAAAAAAAACAGAUAUAUCAGGAAAUUUCAUUGGGAUUAGCAGCCUGCAAAAUAUUUCUACAACUUACGGAGAAUUAUACCUACCGGUUCAAUAAUCAAUAACCUAGAAGAGUUUUCAUCGAACUAGUUUAGGUGAUACACUAGCAGCAAAUAUCAUACCCAAUCUAGUAUGGAUAUAGUACUUGGUUCAUUUUUUCUUAUGCAAUUGUGAGUUUUUCUUUGUUUUAUAUUCUAAUCUAUCAUGUUUCUAAAACUAGAGUUUGAUAAUUAACUAUACUUACAAACUCAAUCAACAAAUUAAUCACAAGAAGAGAAACCAAUCAAAAAACAAUUUUGGAAUCAAACAUUCAAUCCAAUUAUCUAAUUCACAUACUAAUCGAAAUUCAUCUAAAAAUAAAAUGACCUGAGUAUUCUCCAAGACAAAUCCAAGUAAAAGUUUAGGAUUGAGGCGAUGAGAGCAGAUGAGGGAGAGGCUGAAGAGAGAGAGAGAGAUAAAUCACAGAAGACAGAGAUAAAGAGAUUGAUAUUGUACCUCAAAGAUAAUCUCUUCUUGACUUCUUCGAUCUGAUGAGAUUGAAGUUUAAGGUUUGAAUCUUCAUCAGUAUAUGCGAAUUAGUCUUCUAAACGAACUUAACUUGUUUUCUUAAUUUAACACAAAUUAGUAU